GCGCCCGUAGCUCAGUUGGAUAGAGCGCUGCCCUCCGAAGGCAGAGGCCAGAGGUUCGACUCCUCUCGGGCGCACCA
rnacentral:tRNA from 1 species